rnacentral:rRNA from 1 species
UACGUAGGGUGCGAGCGUUGUCCGGAUUUAUUGGGCGUAAAGGGCUCGUAGGCGGCGUGUCGCGUCGGGAGUGAAAGACCGGGGCUUAACCCCGGUUCUGCUUCCGGUACGGGCAUGCUGGAGUGUGGCAGGGGAGAGUGGAAUUCCUGGUGUAGCGGUGAAAUGCGCAGAUAUCAGGAAGAACACCCGUGGCUAAGGCGGCUCUCUAGUACGGUACUGGACGCUGAGACGCGAAAGCGUGGGGAGCGAACAGG